CGGCGAAUGGAACACGCCUCCACGUGGGCACAGUAGCGGAUUAUGGCUGCGGUCUAGCUGUCGCUUCGAACGUUUCAAGGAGAGAUUUCCAGGGACAGAGAUAUUUUUACUAGGGAAACAUAGGGAACGCGCGUUCCCAUUGGACGUCGGUCGAAUGUUUUCCUGCCGUAAACAGAACGCGUAGCGUGUAAUCCAUGGUGUAAAGACACAGGGUGAAACCACUCGACUCUUUGAUAUCGGAAAGCUCAUUGUAAAAAUCAUGAAGAAUAGAGAUAAGGAGGCUCAACUAAUGCUUUCGAGAAUGAGACCAAAACCUGGUUUCUGUGGUAGUUCAAAAUAUGUACACCGGCGGCGCUACGGUAGACAAACUAUUGCUAAACAGCAUGGACGUAAGAAUAUAUGGACGGAGUGUAAGUUAGCGGGGGCCGAGCCAGAGCAGUGAGGGGAAAAGUAGUCAUCACAUAUGGCGGCGACACUACCACGAGGCAGUGCUGUCCGAGCGACCGUGUCUGUGCGCACACGGACACGGUCGCUCGCUUGUGUGCGUCAUCCCCUCCCUAUGCGACAGUGCAACCAAAGGCCGCUCACGGCAGCACUGCCACGAGGCGUCCUAUACAAUCACCUAGUCAUCACAUAUGGCCGCCACCCAAUUUCCCCUCACCGCGCUCGCUUGGGUCCCCUCGUCCUAAAUCCUACAUUACGCUCCGUCCAUAUAUUCUUAUGUCCAUGCUAAACAGAAGUCGAGAGGGGAUAAAUCAUGGUACACUAAUAUACACACUCACACCGGGUCUACUAAUACACACUCAUACUGUGUACGUGAGAACGCUGUCGUUAAAGUCACUAGAUAUAUAAAGUACCGCAAUCCAUAAGACCACUGUAUAAGGAUUUGGAG